UAAGUACUUCCUCCGUCCAGAAAUAUUUGUCGAAGUAAUGAAGGUAUCUAGAUUUAUUUUAAUUUUAAAUACAUUCAUUUUAAUUAAUUUUUAUGAUAAAUAAUUCCGGACGGAGAAAGUACACA
rfam:Hordeum vulgare subsp. vulgare, WGS project CAJW01000000 data, contig: morex_contig_2550862